rnacentral:rRNA from 1 species
CGUGAACUCGGCAAAAUGCCCCCGUAACUUCGGGAGAAGGGGGGCCGGAUGCGUUACAUGGCUUGCCCAUGGAAGCGUUGAUGGCCGCAGAGACCAGGCCCAAGCGACUGUUUACUAAAAACACAGGUCCGUGCGAAGAAGUAAUUCGAUGUAUACGGACUGACGCCUGCCCGGUGCUGGAACGUUAAGGGGACAGGUUAGCUGGUUUAGGCCGGCGAAGCUUUGAACUUAAGCGCCAGUAAACGGCGGUGGUAAAUAACCAUCCUAAGGUAGCGAAAUUCCUUGUCGGGUAAGUUCCGACCUGCACGAAUGGCGUAACGACUUGGGCGCUGUCUCAACCAUGGACUCGGCGAAAUUGCAUUACGAGUAAAGAUGCUCGUUACGCGCAGCAGGACGGAAAGACCCCGGGACCUUUACUACAACUUGGUAUUGGUGGUCGGUACAACUUGUGUAGUAUAGGUGGGAGACUGUGAAAUCCGGACGCCAGUUCGGGUGGAGUCAUCGUUGAAAUACCACUCUGGUUGUUCUGGCUGUCUAACUUCGGUCCAUUAUCUGGAUCAGGGACAGUGCCUGGUGGGUAGUUUGACUGGGGCGGUCGCCUCCUAAAAGGUAACGGAGGCGCUCAAAGGUUCCCUCAGCCUGGUUGGCAAUCAGGUGUCGAGUGUAAGUGCACAAGGGAGCUUGACUGUGAGACAGACAUGUCGAGCAGGGACGAAAGUCGGAACUAGUGAUCCGGCGGUGGCAUGUGGGAGCACCGUCGCUCAACGGAUAAAAGGUACCCCGGGGAUAACAGGCUGAUCUUCCCCAAGAGUCCAUAUCGACGGGAUGGUUUGGCACCUCGAUGUCGGCUCGUCGCAUCCUGGGGCUGGAGUAGGUCCCAAGGGUUGGGCUGUUCGCCCAUUAAAGCGGCACGCGAGCUGGGUUUAGAACGUCGUGAGACAGUUCGGUCCCUAUCCGCUGCGCGCGCAGGAGACUUGAGAAGGGCUGCCCCUAGUACGAGAGGACCGGGGUGGACGAACCUCUGGUGUGCCAGUUGUUCCGCCAGGAGCACGGCUGGUUGGCUACGUUCGGGAGUGAUAACCGCUGAAAGCAUCUAAGCGGGAAGCACGCUUCAAGAUGAGGUCUCCCACCGAGUUAAUCGGGUAAGGCCCCCAGUAGACCACUGGGUUGAUAGGCCAGAGGUGGAAGCGCCGUAAGGUGUGGAGCUGACUGGUACUAAUAGGCCGAGGGCUUGUCUG